AUUGAACGCUGGCGGCAUGCCUUACACAUGCAAGUCGAACGGCAGCACGGGGCAACCUGGUGGCGAGUGGCGAACGGGUGAGUAAUGCAUCGGAACGUACCUUUCAGUGGGGGAUAACGUAGCGAAAGUUACGCUAAUACCGCAUAUUCUGUGAGCAGGAAAGCAGGGGAUCGCAAGACCUUGCGCUGACUGAGCGGCCGAUGUCAGAUUAGCUAGUUGGUGAGGUAAAGGCUCACCAAGGCGACGAUCUGUAGCGGGUCUGAGAGGAUGAUCCGCCACACUGGAACUGGGACACGGUCCAGACUCCUACGGGAGGCAGCAGUGGGGAAUUUUGGACAAUGGGGGCAACCCUGAUCCAGCCAUGCCGCGUGAGUGAAGAAGGCCUUCGGGUUGUAAAGCUCUAUCGGCCGGGAAGAAAUCGCACGGGCUAAUACCCUGUGUGGAUGACGGUACCGGAAUAAGAAGCACCGGCUAACUACGUGCCAGCCGCCGCCGUAAUAC
rnacentral:rRNA from 1 species